rnacentral:piRNA from 1 species
UGCUUCAUGAAGGAGUUCUGCCUGAAGUA